ensembl:lncRNA IL12A-AS1 IL12A antisense RNA 1
GCGCGCUGGCGGGUCGGUGCACAGGGACGGGGUCGCCGCCCACGCGCGCUUGGUUCAGGGAGCCCAGGCUGUCCCUACCCGCGGCUACAAAAGCUCGCCGAGUCUUCCUGUCCACCCAAUCGCCCCACAUGUCAGCGGUUGGUCGCCUCGCGGUGCAGUGCUGGGCACGCGAGCCCCUCCCGCAGUCAUUCUCAGCACAAGCACCAGCCUGGAGCCCCGCAGCGACAGAGCUGAGAGCCCCCAAGCCGCAGAGGUCGUGCGGAGCAGGUUGGUCUAAUUGAAGGCAAUGGAGAAGUAAGUCUUUAUGGAUCAAAAUCUUAGCUCUAGAAAAGGCCUAAGGCAAUAGCUAAUUGAGACUAUGCAUCACUAUUAAGGCAUCUUCACUAAAGGGCGCUGUGGAAACGCUGCCUGAGAUGCAGACACCUGUCAGAAGGGGGCUAAAUUUCAAACAAGGAACGUGGUGUUGCAUCACAAUAAAGUAGAUUCUAGUAUUACCUUCCUUUUUCAGAAGAGGAGACCAAUGGGGAGCAUUGGAAUGAUUUGGUUGCAAGCAUACUACACUACUUGUAAACUGCAGACACAGGCUUAAAAAAAGUGAAAAACUAACCAUGCAAUAAAGAAUGGAAUGAACCAUGAAGCUGUUUCUGUGGCCAGUCAUGUUUUUGAAGCAUAUCCCAUGCUAAUUUCUAGAACAGAAGAAACACACGUGUUCUUGUGUGUAAACCCAGUCCAUGGAAGAGACCGUCUGCUUGUCCCUCCUGAUCUCUGGGCCCAGACAACCAGUAGUCACCAUUCCAAGUGAGGGGUGGCUGCAACUCUACAGCCCCGUUCGUCUCUCCUCACUGUCAAAGCUGCUGAGACCCCAGACUCGACACUUGAAAGAAACCCAUGUCUGUGAAGCACUUGUGGACCAUUCAAGAUUGUGGAAGAAUCACUCAAGAGAAGGAGAUAGCAAUAUUUGCAGAUAUGCAAACUGGCCCCUUGCAUGCACAUCCUGGAGCACGUCCUGGAGCCUUUAGAGGAGACGGCUGCUGCUGUUCCAGUCUCUCCUUAGGCAGACUUGAGUUUCUACCCACUCUUCCCAAGCAGCCGCCCCUCCGCACCCGAGCGAGCCAAAGACCUGGCGGGCUGAGUACUCACUGCGCGCUGGACACAUGCUGAGCCGGCACUGCAGGGACACAGGGCGAGCCGCUGGAUGCAGACCUGUGGCCGCGGCAGUUGGGCUUAUCUUGCCCAUGAAGUUGCCUCUGAAGAACCAAGUCCAACUGUGUAUGCUGAGAGAUGUCUGGCUACUUCCUGAUUGACAGUUCUGGCAAGGUGGCAUUGGGCCCUGGCUUUUCCUCUGGAGGCAUCAUCACUUAUAGGAAAAUGUCCCCUGAAGUCCAAGGAUCAAAGCUGCUGGAACACUGAGAAGCUGAACAAAGGAGAACUGUUUCUCAUCAAACCCAGACUUCCAGACUUCCAAUAGGGUAGAAUGAGCAAGUCAGCAAAUCAUCUUCCUUGGAAACAGUGAUAAAACUAGAUGACAUUGUCAACAACAGCCAUUUCAGAAAUCUAGAAAAUGACCAAAGGCAAACAACAAACUGAGAAGCAUUUUUUUUUCCAUGAAAAAUCGCUCUAUUUCUGCAAAAAUAGUGGGAGUCUAUGGCUUCUCAUCCAGGGCUGUUUCUCUCCCCACCCCAGCUCAGUCAGUACAAAGGUUCUGGCAGCAUGAGGCAGACUGAACAGACCUGAAGUUUGAUUGCUGGAAGAAACUGACUCCAGGUUUGGCAGAGGGUGAGAAACCUACUCCCAGCCAUGUUGUCUGGUGACACAGUGACCUUAGGGACAAGUGAAUAGGGAAGGCCAGUGAUUCAUUAACCUGAGGUUGCAGUCCUGGUUGGGGAAAGCAUCAGAAUGGCAGAUAAGCUAGAAAUUUAGUAGGGAUAUGCUGGAAAUGAGACAACCCCAAAGGGGCUUGACCCCAAAGUUGUCCACACACCCCAGCUGCCUUCUGAGCAGAUGUAGGGAGAGACCAGAGAAGGCCUAGGCUAUCCACACAUCUCUGGCUAACCCAGGCUGUAAACCUGUGGAGGAGACACAAGAGGUGGAUUGAUUGCUAAUGGGCAUAUGGGGGAUCUUACUGGUUGAUAGGAACAUUCUCAAAUUGGAUUGUGGUGAUGCUUGCACAACUCUAAGUUUAUCCCAAAUUGCUAAAUUUUACACUAAAAAGGGGUGAACUUUAGGGUAUAUAAAUUAUACA